AUGGAGCAAUGCCGCGUGAACGAAGAAGGUUACUCGGAUCGUAAAGUUCUGUUGUAAGGGAAGAACACGUACGGGAGUAACUGCCCGUACCUUGACGGUACCUUAUUAGAAAGCCACGGCUAACUACGUGCCAGCAGCCGCGGUAAUACGUAGGUGGCAAGCGUUGUCCGGAAUUAUUGGGCGUAAAGCGCGCGCAGGCGGUCUUUUAAGUCUGAUGUGAAAGCCCACGGCUCAACCGUGGAAGGUCAUUGGAAACUGGGAGACUUGAGUACAAAAGAGGAAAGCGGAAUUCCACGUGUAGCGGUGAAAUGCGUAGAGAUGUGGAGGAACACCAGUGGCGAAGGCGGCUUUCUGGUCUGUAACUGACGCUGAGGCGCGAAAGCGUGGGGAGCAAACAGGAUUAGAUACCCUGGUAGUCCACGCCGUAAACGAUGAGUGCUAAGUGUUAGGGGGUUUCCGCCCCUUAGUGCUGCAGCUAACGCAUUAAGCACUCCGCCUGGGGAGUACGGCCGCAAGGCUG
rnacentral:rRNA from 1 species